GAUGAAGUACGCAGCGAAAUGCGAUAAGUAAUGUGAAUUGCAGAAUUCAGUGAAUCAUCGAAUCUUUGAACGCACAUUGCGCCCCCUGGUAUUCCGGGGGGCAUGCCUGUUCGAGCGUCAUUUCACCACUCAAGCCUCGCUUGGUAUUGGGCAACGCGGUCCGCCGCGUGCCUCAAAUCGACCGGCUGGGUCUUCUGUCCCCUAAGCGUUGUGGAAACUUUCGCUAAAGGGUGUUCGGGAGGCUACGCCGUAAAACAACCCCAUUUCUAAGGUUGACCUCGGAUCAGGUAGGGAUACCCGCUGAACUUAAGCAUAUCAAUAAGCGGAGGA
rnacentral:misc_RNA from 1 species